rnacentral:rRNA from 1 species
CCUGGACCCGGGUUUAUCAGCCAUGGGAGGACGCUUCUCGAUAUUCCAUCCCGCACUGCUGGUAGUUGCGGGCUAGGCAAAGGUUUGGCUAGUUGAAAGACUAGCGUAAUGACUAAUGCCGGGGAAGGGAACUCUUCGGAGUGAACGAACUGGAAUUGAGGGGGGCCGAGAAAAGCCCCACAGCAUUAAUGAUAAAUUCGACCGUACUGUAAACCGACACAGGUGGGUGAGUCGAGGAGACUAAGGCGUUCGAGUGAACUCUCGUUAAGGAACUAGGCAAAUGAGCCCCGUAACUCCGGGAUAAGGGGCGCCAGCGCAAGCUGGCCGCAGCGAAGCAGCCCAGGCGACUGUUUACCAAAAACACAGGUCUCUGCUAACACGAAAGUGGAUGUAUAGGGGCUGACGCCUGCCCAAUGCCAGUAGGUUAACAGGAGAUGUCAGGAGUAAUCCGAAGCAUUGAAUCGAAGCCCUGGUGAAUGGCGGCCGUAACUCUAACGGUCCUAAGGUAGCGAAAUUCCUUGUCGGCUAAAUACCGACCCGCAUGAAAGGCGUAACGACUCGGGCACUGUCUCUACGAGAAGCUCGGUGAAAUUGUAGCACCCGUGAAGAUGCGGGUUACGCGCAGUAGGACGGAAAGACCCCGUGGAGCUUUACUACACCCUGUCACUGCGAAUUGGGUGUAGAUGUAGAGAGUAGGUGGGAGCUUAGGCACCAAUGGAACACCACCCUUCUACAUCUGGUUCGCUAACCGUCACCAUUAUCUGGUGACGAGACAAUGACAGGCGGGUAGUUUGACUGGGGCGGUCGCCUCCCAAAAGGUAACGGAGGCGCCUAAAGUUGCACUCAGGCUGGUUGGAAAUCAGCCGUCGAGCGUAUAGGUAUAUAGUGCGAUUGACUGCGAGACAAACAGGUCGAGCAGGGACGAAAGUCGAGCUAAGUGACCCUCUGGUGGUGCGUGGGCACGCCAGGGUUCAUCGGAUAUAAGCUACCCCGGGGAUAACAGGCUGAUCUUGCCCGAGCGCUCACAGCGACGGCAUGGUUUGGCACCUCGAUGUCGGCUCGUCUCAUCCUGGGGCUGUACACGGUCCCAAGGGUUCCGGAGUUCACGGAUUAAAGGGGCACGCGAGCUGGGUUCAGAACGGCGUGAGCCAGUUCGGUCCCUAUCCACUGCGCGCGGAGGAAAUUUGAGAGGACUCGCUCCUAGUACGAGAGGACCGGAGUGAACCGACCUCUGGUGUACCUGUUGUGCCGCCAGGCGCAUACGCAGGGUAGCCACGUCGGGUCGUGAUAAGCGCUGAAAGCAUCUAAGCGCCAAGCACACCUCAGGAUGAGAUUUCCCAUCGAAAGAGUAAGGCCCCCGGAAGACUACCGGGUUGAUAGGUCGCAGGUGUGAGCGCAGUAAUGUGUUAAGCUGAGCGAUACUAAUUGGCCGAGGGCUUG